ACGACUGAGCUGAUUGUAUUGUGAGGACAGUCUGAUCACAUGAAGCCAACAACAUCGGACAGUGUCCAUUACCUACCAAGCUCAUGCACUUGGAGAAUUGACCACUAGGAACAAUCUGCAUCGAACCAGGUACAGUACCCCUCAAUACGCAAUUCUGGAUCCCACAUUUAAAUUGUAUAGUGAGAUUGGAAAAAUCCCAUACAAUUGGCCCUAAGGACAGCAACCAUUAAAUACCGAGUACCAAAUCAAACCCUUUAACUGAUAGUACCAAAAAAUCUGUAACACAUUUAU
rnacentral:lncRNA from 1 species